UUGAAUAUUUUACACCCAAACUUUUGGCAACUAUGCCUCUGACACUGAUUACUUAAAAUUAUUAUAUUAGCGCGAAAAUUUAAUUGGCUCCCCUUUUUGCAGAACGAUUGCAUCUAUAGGAAAAAUAAAGUGGAAAAAGUGUAUUGUUGGUGCGUCGUAUCCUUAUACAGCAGAAGCUUGUGGCACUGCAAUAAUAUUGAAUUUGUAUAAAUUGUGAUAAAUGUCUAAUGAGGAUAUUUGUCGUGCUAUUGUUCGCUGAUAUUACCUUCCGGAAUAAAUUCCUCACAAAUUGAUUGUAGUUUAUAAUAAAAGAGCCUUUUCCGUAAAUGCAGCACUAUGCCCAAUGGCCUUCCCUGCCGUAAUGUAUUCCUCAUAAACUAGUUGACAGCGAUGAUGUGUUGAUUGUGGUUCGAAGUUAAAAAAAUUUUUCAGUAAAUGCGGCAUUAUAUGUGUCCCCGAAGAAAUUUCUGCCACUGAAUUAUUGGGCCAUUCAAACGAAUAGUAUCAUUAAAUACUAGAAAUACUGUAAAAUUUAUUAACUUCAGUUAUUUUAAAGCCAAAAACCAAAUAACCCCUAUAACAAUUGCAAGCUCGAACGAUUAAAAGCAGCAGCUGCCAAAAGAAACCAAAAUUUGUGUUUAGACAAUGGUGAAGCCGAUGUCAAUGCAAAUUGGAAUUGUCUAGACUAUUCAAUUAAUAAAAGUACCCUGGAUCAACGACUGUCUCUGAAGCUAACAGAUUAUUAGAAAGAUGUAGAACAUAACUUAAACGAUGUUUAUUAUACUCCAACGAAAAAAUAUAAAUCAUCUAAAAAUGCUGAAUCGCAAAAAAAGUUGUGUGAGUCUACUAUUAAGUUUAUAUAAAACAGCCGAAUAGACAACUAAAAGAAGUAUUCCCCGACAGCCGAAAUGUCCCCAAUUAUUCGGCCAAGGGCUGUCAACCCCAGCAACAACGAAAAACUGCUACAGUUAUAUUGUUAUAUUGCUAUACGUUACCUCACCAAACCUAUGUUCAUAUAUAUGUGCAAAACAUUGUCUUGGAAACAUGCACACACAUUGUUGGAUAAAACGUUCCACUUCUCCCGUGCUUAGUGAAGUACAUGCAGUAACUAUUGGUAGAAGAACUAGAUAUUUUCUGUAUAGAAGGCAAUAUCAAAAUUAUCCACAUGGAUAAGCCGCAGUGUUUGUUGAUGGGUGAAGUCGAUUAAUCUCUAAACCUUAUAUGCCAAAGCAUUUAAAAGAAAUAGUGACCGGAUUCUCAAAAGCGUUUAAAGGUUAUGUCAUUUAUUUAGUUGCGGAAUAAACUACUUCGAUGCCGAAUCAAAUUCAGUAUUACAACAGCUAUGAGACAGCAACAAAAACAGCUAUGAGACACGACAAUCGAUUCUCGCACCGGAACGAGUUGGAGGUUUACAGGUUCCUUAGAAUUCAGUUGUCACUGGGAAGGUAGUACCAAUCGGAAUAAACUACUUCGAUGCCGAAUCAAAUUCUGUAUUACAACAGCUAUGAGACAGCAACAAAAACAGCUAUGAGACACGACAAUCGAUUCUCGCACCGGAACGAGUUGGAGUUCAACGAAUAACGACUAAGGAUUGUCAACUCAGCCACACCAACUUUACACGUAUCGCUGCUACAACAACAUCAACAAUAAAGUAGCUGAUAAAUCUGGGUGAGUGCAAAUUUAAUUUAAAAUUCAAACAAAAAAUAAGAACAGUACGUCGUGACUGGACAGAUAGUUUAAAUAAUUUAACUAGGACUCGAUAGAAACAUAUUUUCAUGGUGAAUUCGGUUGUAAUAAUAUAAAUAAAUUUCUAAACUACAUGUUAUUACCCCUAAAUUAAAAUAAUUCUGAGUUAUGUCGUAGUUAUGGAUUAUGUCAUUGUCAAAACUGAUGUUUCUGUACAAUUCAUUUGUAUCAUACCCAGUGAGAAUCUGCUUUAGGAAUGAACAAACACAUGUUUGAUUUCAAAUAUGUAUUGUACAAUCAUUUAUCUUUGGUUUCAACUUACUGUAAGAUCGGACUCAGAAAAUGUUACUACCCUUGGUGACUAAUAACCCCUAGCUUUUGAUGGCACGGUUCCGUAAAGUGAAACGGGGUUGCACCUUCUAAUAGGGUAGUGACGGUUACACAUGUAACCAGCUUAGAAACGUAAGAUUAUAGUUGAACCAAACAAAUGAUAAUUCAUUCUUUAAGCUAUGAUUUCCACUGGUCUAUUUCAUACUGAAUGACAUGUACAGAUGUUAUUAUUGCUCAGGAUAUACCCUUAACCCAAUGAACCCAAUGACUUAUUUUCCAAUAUAUUUCAUUUUUUGCAUUUCAUAUUAUGUUUCUACACAUUUAAAAUAAUUUUUCUUUCAAUCUAACUAAUGUUUCUGUACCAUCAUUCAUUUGUAUAAUAGCCAGUGAGAAUCUGCUUUAGGAAUGAACAAACACAUAUUUGAUUUCAAAUAUGUAUUGUACAAUCAUUUACAUUUGUUUCAACUUACUGUAAGAUCGGACUCAGAAAAUGUUACUAUCCUUGGUGACUAAUAACCCCUAGCUUUUGAUGGCACGGUUCCGUAAAGUGUAAUGGGGUUGCACCUUCUAAUAGGGUAGUGACGGUUACACAUGUAACCAGCUUAGAAACGUAAGAUUUUAGUUGAAGCAACAAAUGGUUAUUUAUUCCUGAAGCUAUGAUUUCCACUGGUCUAUUACAUACUGAAUGUCAUGUACAGUUGUCAUUAUUGCUCCAUAACUACGUGUCUAUAUAAGCUAUGUAUCAUUUUUUUAACUGGAGGUUUCACGAGUUCUUUUAAGUAUACCACAAGGGUGAUAUUGGCCGGUACAAAUAUUAUUAAGUUCCUACAAGGCCGGGUUUGUCCGAUUUACGAUCUUUUAUUUAUAAUCCUGAAACCUUAUCCUGGACCCAAUGACUUAUUUUCUAAUAUAUUUUAAUUUUACAUUUCAUAUUAUGUUUCUAAACAUUUAUCAUAAUUUUUCUUACAAUCUUGCUGAUGUUUCUGUACCAUCAAUCAUUUGUAUAAUAGCCAGUGAGAAUCUGCCUUAGGAAUGAACAAACACAUAUUUGAUUUCAGAUAUGUAUUGUACAGUCAUUUACAAUUGGUUUCAACUUACUGUAAGAUCGGACUCAGAAAAUGUUACUACCCUUGGUGACUAAUAACCCCUAGCUUUUGAUG